CCUUUUUUUUUCUCACCAUAGUUUCAUCUCUUUUUUUCUCCCCAUCGUAGCCAAAACACUCUGCACAGAGUUUAGGUUGAAGAUGCCACUGGAGUAUACUGCUAUUUCCGAGCUCAAUUCAUGUAAAAAAGAAUGGAAAAUCAGAGUGUUGGUCUCACGGAUGUGGGAGUACUUCUCCAAAAAUAAACCUGAAGUUGUUCUCGGGCUCGAAGCUAUCCUCCUGGAUGAAAAGGCUGUUGUGGGAAAGCUACACCAUAUUUCAACCCUGUGACUAAGGAAAUUGAGGCCAACAAAUAUUCAUGUGUCUCUUGCGAGAAGGAUGAAACCAUCAC